AAUUUAAAUUUUCGGAAUGCAUCAAAUAGCAAUACAAGCCACUCCUCCAACUUAUAUACUAUUGAAAUUGCCGAACAAUUAAUACAAACGCACGCAUUAUAUGCUACAUAGAGAUAAAUACGAGGACAUUUCUUUGAAUUUACAUCAUUCGGUACUUGAAUGUUCAAGAGAACAGACGUGCGUUCUAAAAGAAAAAGGAAAAAAUAAAAUUUUGAUCUCAAGUGAAAGUUGAAAAAAAAAAUUGUUGGGAAUAAUAUUGAUACAAAUAAAUAUUGAGUGAAAAAUUGUGAAUUAAAAUUUUAACAAGAUGACACAACAGAUCUUCAAAAAACCCGAGAUCCCAAAAAUAAAAGUUAAGAUCAUCAGGUACAAAUCAGUUAAAGAAAUUGAAAAAAAGGUCUGGAUAUACCCAAGGAAAGUUGAAUAUAAAAGCAACAAAGGAAUCCGGAUUGAGUUUUCGGACUUUUAUACAAUAGUCCAGGAACCUUCGAUCAUAAAGAAAAGCGUCAUAAAAUCCAUCAAUGAAUUUUGCAAGCAAAAACAGCUUGCUGUUAUGUUCUCAAAAGGAAACAGAACGACGAAAGAAGUCAUCAAUACAACUUUCCGUCGUGUUAUCGAAAGUAAAGUUAAGAAAUAACUGGGAAAUAAUUUGAAAUGGAAAUAGAGAAUACCCACCCACUGUAUACAUGUGAUAUAACCUUAAAGUUAGUAUAAGACUGCAAAAAGACGCUUUUAUUGUUAAAUGUAGAA